GACGAACGCUGGCGGCGUGCUUAACACAUGCAAGUCGAACGGAAAGGCCCUGCUUUUGUGGGGUGCUCGAGUGGCGAACGGGUGAGUAACACGUGAGUAACCUGCCCUUGACUUUGGGAUAACUUCAGGAAACUGGGGCUAAUACCGGAUAGGAGCUCCUGCUGCAUGGUGGGGGUUGGAAAGUUUCGGCGGUUGGGGAUGGACUCGCGGCUUAUCAGCUUGUUGGUGGGGUAGUGGCUUACCAAGGCUUUGACGGGUAGCCGGCCUGAGAGGGUGACCGGCCACAUUGGGACUGAGGUACGGCCCAGACUCCUACGGGAGGCAGCAGUGGGGAAUAUUGCACAGUGGGCGGAAGCCUGAUGCAGCGGCGCCGCGUGCGGGAUGACGGCCUUCGGGUUGUGAACCGCUUUCGCCUGUGACGAAGCGUGAGUGACGGUAAUGGGUAAAGAAGCACCGGCUAACUACGUG
rnacentral:rRNA from 1 species